rnacentral:rRNA from 1 species
ACGAACGCUGGCGGCGUGCCUAAUACAUGCACGUAGAACGCUGAAGAGAGGAGCUUGCUCUUCUUGGAUGAGUUGCGAACGGGUGAGUAACGCGUAGGUAACCUGCCUUGUAGCGGGGGAUAACUAUUGGAAACGAUAGCUAAUACCGCAUAACAAUGGAUGACACAUGUCAUUUAUUUGAAAGGGGCAAUUGUUCCACUACAAGAUGGACCUGCGUUGUAUUAGCUAGUAGGUGAGGUAAUGGCUCACCUAGGCGACGAUACAUAGCCGACCUGAGAGGGUGAUCGGCCACACUGGGACUGAGACACGGCCCAGACUCCUACGGGAGGCAGCAGUAGGGAAUCUUCGGCAAUGGGGGCAACCCUGACCGAGCAACGCCGCGUGAGUGAAGAAGGGUUUCGGAUCGUAAAGCUCUGUUGUAAGUCAAGAACGGGUGUGAGAGUGGAAAGUUCACACUGUGACGGUAGCUUACCAGAAAGGGACGGCUAACUACGUG